AUGGGUUGUUCUUUUGUUGACAUUAUAGAAAAAAAAUUGGAUGAAUAGUGAGAAAGAGUAUAAAGAAGUAAGUUGACUUGUCUUGUGUUUCAAAAGCUAAGAACAUCAUUAACGCUGUUUUUUAUAGGUGUUCUUAAUGCAAUUAAAAUUAAAGAAAAAAAAACUAGAGAGUAACAGAGGAGACGUUUCUUAAUUAGGAGUUACAAGAAACGUCUCUUACGCGUCUGUUCUUCCUCCAUUGAAGUUUGCUUCCGAUUCGAUUCAAAACCAUGGCCUUUGUAUCCUAGCAAUCUCCUCCCCAAUCUAGCUUCUUCCUCAUCAGUCGAUUCAGCUCUGAUACUGGCGUAACCGACGGCACCGGAUCCGAUAUCACCAAAGCUUCGAUCAUAGGCGAAACCCGGAGAGAUGUCGCCGAGAUCCAAAAGGACAGGGAUCAUCGCAGUCAAGUGCGGGAUGACGAUGCUCUGGGAUAAAUGGGGAGCUAGGGUUCCGGUUUCGAUCCGUCUCUCACGUCAAAAACGUUGAGAAAGAAUCAACAUCUUCAACAUCCUCUGGUGGAUGCUUUCACUGACUCUGCUUUCAAAGGUAACCUAGCAGUGGUUUGCUUGCUCAACUUUGGCAUCUGCUCAUUGUCUCUUCUCCAACGCUUUGGUUGAUUCAGACAGUGUCGAGUUUGUCACAAGUUCAGGGGAAAGAAGGAUCCUUUUUUAUCGAGUUGAAUUUCCCUGUGGUUCCAACUAGCGAUAUCAAUCUCAGUGAUGCAUCCUUUUCCAUGAUCACCAAGGCCUUGAACGGAGCUACCAUUCUUGAUACUAAAGCUACUGCCACCAACCAAAGAUGGAUGAUAUAUUGAAAUGGCCUUUCGAUGGCAUCAUCUUCACAGCCGCAGGUUACUUCUUGUUCCUUCUGCAAUCACAAUCAGAUCCAAGGGCUGAUUAUCCUUAGUAGAAUAUAAUGAGUGAUCACAUGAUUUGUACUUGCAUUUGAAUCUGACCUUACUCUAUUGAGCUACAAACAAAGCCUUCCUCUGUUGUGAUGCGAAGACAUUUUGUAUUACCAUUUGCUUGUUUUAUUUCUGCCAUCAUUGAUAUUGUCCAUCUUUGAGAGUGUAAACUCGUGUCCAAUAAGUUAUUUUAUUAAAGGAAAAUCUUCAUGGCCUAAUGGGUUAAUUAUUCAUGUUUUGGAAACGAAUGAUGCCGAUGUCCAUGCUAUAGAUGUUUUCUUUAUUAAAGAUAUUGUUGAGUCUGUUUUGCUUGAAGAAGAAACUGACGAUAAGGGUGCCAAAGAUGGAAAGAAAACUAACCGGACUUCUCGUGAGAAGGAAUCGAGAAUGGACACUCGUGGCCAGUAGGCUUCUCUGUGUAUUAACGAGUUGUUGUUGAAGAAGAUGGUGUGUGUUAUGUUGUUCUAUUUCAUGUUAUAUGUUCUUAUUUUGUGGUUUCAUAUUCUUGUUUUUUUAAGAAUCCCUAAAUAAGAUACUACCAUUGGAGCACAAAAUCAAGGUGUUUCUUAACUAAGAUUUUUAAUUAUAUUUAAUUACUAAAAUAA